GGCGGCAUGCCUUACACAUGCAAGUCGAACGGCAGCACGGGGGCAACCCUGGUGGCGAGUGGCGAACGGGUGAGUAAUACAUCGGAACGUGUCCUGUAGUGGGGGAUAGCCCGGCGAAAGCCGGAUUAAUACCGCAUACGCUCUACGGAGGAAAGGGGGGGAUCUUCGGACCUCCCGCUACAGGGGCGGCCGAUGGCAGAUUAGCUAGUUGGUGGGGUAAAGGCCUACCAAGGCGACGAUCUGUAGCUGGUCUGAGAGGACGACCAGCCACACUGGGACUGAGACACGGCCCAGACUCCUACGGGAGGCAGCAGUGGGGAAUUUUGGACAAUGGGGGAAACCCUGAUCCAGCAAUGCCGCGUGUGUGAAGAAGGCCUUCGGGUUGUAAAGCACUUUUGUCCGGAAAGAAAACCUCCGCCCUAAUAUGGUGGGGGGAUGACGGUACCGGAAGAAUAAGCACCGGCUAACUACGUGCCAGCAGCCGCGGUAAUACGUAGGGUGCAAGCGUUAAUCGGAAUUACUGGGCGUAAAGCGUGCGCAGGCGGUCCGCUAA
rnacentral:rRNA from 1 species